rnacentral:lncRNA from 1 species
UUUUCCCCAAAAUUUAUUUCCAAGAACUAUGAUUUUAAUUUCUAAAUGAGAUAUCAUUUCAUCACAAUCCAUAAUCUAGUAAAUCAACAACGCAUAAACACAAGCAAUUAUUCAUCACCAACAGAGAUCAACCAAUAAUGUUCAAUGCAAUGCACCAAAUAUCAUCAAUAAUGAAAUAAAAAGAUGCAAAGAGUAGAAUUAGAUCUCAAUUUGAAUCUUUCAAACUCAAAUAUUAUUCGAAUGAAAAGAUGAAAUCUGCAUCCAAAGACCUCGAGUCAAAUCUCAAUAUAAACAAACCAAUCUCGAUAUACCCCUUUGCUAUUUUUCGUCCAAAAUAGAACCAAAAUCCAAAAAUAUUAAAGACCCACACGAAUGUCGUAUGUUACAGGUAUUUUUAGUUAUUUUAUGGUGGGUUUGGAUGCUGAAUUUAUUGUGUUUUGGGGAUGUUAGUCACCGAUGUAAAAAUUACCGAGUGAGAACUCCAGUGAGCUUCGCUGACAAGGUUGACGGUGAUAGGGAUGGUGAAGGAUAGGGAAAAUUUGGUCGGUAUUUUGUGGUUGUUGCUCAGUGGGUUUUGAUUUUGGGUCUGUGGUGACUGAAUCCAGCGAGGGAUGGAUGAUUCUGGCAAAUAAUUUGCCAAAAAAUUUGAAAUUCAUUAGUUUUUGUUCACUCCCUUUUCGACCAACCUUUUAUUUCUCUUAAUAUUCUCCUCUCUUUC